AUGAUUCUGUGGGGUCUUCUCCUCUGCCUGCUGACAGCCCCCCUGGGUGUCCUGUCCCAGGUGCAGCUGCAGGAGUCGGGCCCAGGACUGGUGGCCCCCUCCCAGACCCUCUCCCUCACCUGCUCUGUCUCCGGAUUCUCCAUUGAUACCUAUGGUUACUGGUGGGCAUGGAUCAGCCAGCCCCCAGGGAAGGGCCUGCUCUGGUUGGCGAGUAUAUUUUGGGAUGGAGACACCUACUACAGCCCGUCCCUGAAGAGCCGCGUCUCCAUCACCAAAGACACAAAAAAGAACCAGUUCUCCCUGCAGCUGAGCUCAGUGACCCCCGAGGACACAGCUGUGUAUUACUAUGUGAGAUACACAACAGUAGGACCAACUCUUAAAAUGUACUUUGAUUACAUUGCAGAAACCAUUUAUGCUCUUAUGUGUCAUAUUAUAUUAUGA